rnacentral:rRNA from 1 species
GACGAACGCUGGCGGCGUGCUUAACACAUGCAAGUCGAACGGAAAGGCCCUGCUUUUGUGGGGUGCUCGAGUGGCGAACGGGUGAGUAACACGUGAGUAACCUGCCCUUGACUUUGGGAUAACUUCAGGAAACUGGGGCUAAUACCGGAUAGGAGCUCCUGCUGCAUGGUGGGGAUUGGAAAGUUUCGGCGGUUGGGGAUGGACUCGCGGCUUAUCAGCUUGUUGGUGGGGUAGUGGCUUACCAAGGCUUUGACGGGUAGCCGGCCUGAGAGGGUGACCGGCCACAUUGGGACUGAGAUACGGCCCAGACUCCUACGGGAGGCAGCAGUGGGGAAUAUUGCACAAUGGGCGGAAGCCUGAUGCAGCAACGCCGCGUGCGGGAUGACGGCCUUCGGGUUGUAAACCGCUUUCGCCUGUGACGAAGCGUGAGUGACGGUAAUGGGUAAAGAAGCACCGGCUAACUACGUC